rnacentral:rRNA from 1 species
GACGAACGCUGGCGGCGUGCCUAAUACAUGCAAGUCGAACGCAGUGGGGACGGGUAAUUAACACGUGGGUAACCUCCCCUCAGAGGGAAUAACACUUGGCAACAGGUGCUAAACGGGUACUGCUGGAUGGUCCCGCGGUGCAUUAGCUAGUUGGUGAGGUAACGGCUUACCAAGGCCACGAUGCAUAACCGGCCUGAGAGGGUGAUCGGCCACACUGGGACUGAGACACGGCCCAGACUCCUACGGGAGGCAGCAGUAGGGAAUCUUCGGCAAUGGACGAAAGCCUGACCCAGCAACGCCGCGUGAGUGAAGAAGGUUUUCGGAUCGUAAAACUCUUUUGUUAGAGAAGCGUUAUCUACCCAGAAAGCCACGGCUAACUACGUGCCAGCAGCCGCGGUAAUAC